GGCGGCGGCUGUGUGCCCGCGGCGCUCAGGGGCGCUCGGGUCCCCGGCGGGUCGCCGCGGCUCCGGGGUCACAGCCCCGCAGGAGUGAGAAGAAGGAAGAAGGGACCAGCCGGGAGCGCGAGCGCGAGGGCGUGCGUGGAGGCCUCGCGGGUGUGGAGGAGGUGAGGGCAGAAAGACUAAGGGUGGUGCCGGGACCCCAGUGGGCGCCGGGUUCAAAACACCGCGCUCCGCGCUGGCGUUCCCAGGCUCGCGUUCACUCAGCUGCCUCGCUCGGCUUCCUUCCUAAGGGCUCCCCCUCGUGUUUUCCUCUAGCUUUUCUUGCCGAACGUGAAACAACAAAAUCGGAGACCCCUGAGUAGGGGGCACACGGCGGGGUGAGUUGGAGCCAAAGAAGGGCUCGGUAGGAGGAAGACCGGCGAGGAAGGGAGCUCAGGAACGCUGCUUCCUGGUGAGCCUAGCUUCCUCCCAAACCAAGCUCUUCGCUGGAUCUCAAAAGGCAAAGAAGGAAAAGCUUAUUGAAGGCAAGCAGGAGAAGAUCUAGUGGAAACCUUCAGAGCAAUUACUUAAAUGCGCCUCCCGACGCAUCCCUAUUCGCUGUGUGUAUGGCGAGCUCGCUUCUUCAGCCCUAACCCACCAGGCAGGGAGCGGUGAGGAAACUGGAUGCCCGCAACUUUUCCGAAGCUUGUUCUGUCUCGCCACUCCUCACCCCCAAUCGAGAGGACGAGUGACAGGAGAAAUGGCGCCAAGCGGUGUGCACGUUUAAAAGGUUCGUAUUAAUUCAUUUUGCUGCAGUCAAACGUGCUUCAGCGCCCCUGUGUGGAAAUACACUCAAACUGUGCUCUCCUGCAAGUGUCCAACCACAGACUUACAUGGCUAUUUUGUCCUCUCUUCCUCCCUUUUCUUGGGUGGAUUCCCUCUCUCUUUGUCUAGGCUAUCCUUUCUCUCUUCCUUCUGGAAAUCUUGCCCUAAUCUUUCCUGGGGAUCCGAAGCUCUACCUUCUUGUUUCCUCUUCCCAUCCUCAUUGCCCGGCCCUUCCCCUGUCCUCCUUUGCUCCCUGGCAGGCUGGGAUGGACCUGUUCUGUCCUGAGCGCAUGCCGGGGACUAGGAAACCAUCUGAGAAGGGAGAGGAAUCGGUGGAGAUGCCUGCAUCCGCCCAGUCACUGCUACUCUCUUCGAAACCAAUUCAAGGAUGACUGCCAACUAGGAAAUGGGUAGUAUGACCUCUCUACAAACUUUACAAACAGAAAAUGCCCAAUGCAAGAAAAAGGAACUGCUAUUACAGACUUAAAAAGAACACAAAGUUAAUAUGUGUAGUAUGUAUUGAGUUAAUUUUGAGUUUUUAAUUGGUACUUAAAGAUCAGUAUUUUUUUUAAAAAAGCUUUAAUUUUUAACUGAAUAAAAAGCCCGACUUUGAAUACAAUAAAGCUAAAUUUUAGUCUCCCAGUAGCACCUUUCUCUGUGUUUUAGAAUUGCCAUUUUGCAACUGCCUGGUUUUUAUAUAGUUCAAAACAUAUGAGCAACUACCUUAGGGACAUGUAGAGAACCACGAGUGGUUAACCAACAGAAGUGGUAAAAUUUAAGUAAAUUAAACUUAAUAUAUUGAUUCAACUAAAUGGCUGGUGUCAUUUU
ensembl:lincRNA